rnacentral:rRNA from 1 species
CCUACGGGCGGCAGCAGUGGGGAAUAUUGGACAAUGGGCGAAAGCCUGAUCCAGCCAUGCCGCGUGUGUGAAGAAGGCCUUCGGGUUGUAAAGCACUUUCAUUGGGGAAGAAAGCCUUGGGGCUAAUACCCUCGAGGAAGGACAUCACCCACAGAAGAAGCACCGGCUAACUCCGUGCCAGCAGCCGCGGUAAUACGGAGGGUGCGAGCGUUAAUCGGAAUUACUGGGCGUAAAGCGCGCGUAGGCGGUCUGAUAAGCCGGUUGUGAAAGCCCCGGGCUCAACCUGGGAACGGCAUCCGGAACUGUCAGGCUAGAGUGCAGGAGAGGAAGGUAGAAUUCCCGGUGUAGCGGUGAAAUGCGUAGAGAUCGGGAGGAAUACCAGUGGCGAAGGCGGCCUUCUGGACUGACACUGACGCUGAGGUGCGAAAGCGUGGGUAGCAAACAGGAUUAGAUACCCUGGUAGUC